GAUGAACGCUGGCGGCGUGCCUAAUACAUGCAAGUCCAGCGAACGGACGAGAAGCUUGCUUCUCUGAUGUUAGCGGCGGACGGGUGAGUAACACGUGGAUAACCUACCUAUAAGACUGGGAUAACUUCGGGAAACCGGAGCUAAUACCGGAUGAUAUUUUGAACCGCAUGGUUCAAAAGUGAAGGACGGUCUUGCUGUCACUUAUAGAUGGAUCCGCGCUGCAUUAGCUAGUUGGUAAGGUAACGGCUUACCAAGGCAACGAUGCAUAGCCGACCUGAGAGGGUGAUCGGCCACACUGGAACUGAGACACGGUCCAGACUCCUACGGGAGGCAGCAGUAGGGAAUCUUCCGCAAAGGGCGAAAGCCUGACGGAGCAACGCCGCGUGAGUGAUGAAGGUCUUCGGAUCGUAAAACUCUGUUAUUAGGGAAGAACAUAUGUGUAAGUAACUGUGCACAUCUUGACGGUACCUAAUCAGAAAGCCACGGCUAACUACGUG
rnacentral:rRNA from 1 species